UUGUUCAGGGUGCUAAAUAGUACUGAAAAUUGAUAACAAAUCAAGUCAGCCUAAUUUACAGUCUCGAAGUUAGGUGACAUUACAUUAAACAGAUGAUCAACCAUCAAAAUUACUACAGCAGUGUUUAUUUUCCAGAUCACAUUUUGUAGUCUUUGAAAUGUCAGAUAUGCACUCCCACUGAGAGGCAAAUGUGGAUAUACAUAUGCGAGGAUGUCAUCAACAUGGAGAAGAUUGAAAGCAAAUGUGCAAGGAUUCAUUACAGAUUUAAUCCUUCCAACAAUUCUGAUUAAACAAGGGACCGACAGGUUGUUUGAUUCUGAGGAUUUGGGUUAUUGAUUAUUGACAUAGGAACUGAAUCCCCUGAAUAUUUCACCAAAUGGAAUUUUGGAUGUGAAAAUUUGUGGCUUCCAAAUAAAGGACAUUCAUUUAUAGUGUGCUUUAUUCAUAUUAACAUUACACACUUCCUUCUGACCUAUAACAGACUGAGAGCUGUCACCUGAGGCACUGUCUUCUUUUUUAUCACAUUAAAGAGCAAAAAGCCACAAACAGCUUAUUAAUGAGUCUUAAAGAUUUACCUAAAUACAUUUAUGUUAAAAUAAAUUUCAUAUUACUAUUGGAAAUUGAAAACCAGUAUUACUUCCAAUAAGUAGAAACUGACUGUAAAAACUAUAACUCUUAAAAUAAGGUGUUUAUCUAUGUAACACCUUCAAAUUUCUGAUGUACCACCGGUGUAGACCUAAUACACUCUUAGAAAUGCUGGUCUAGAAAAGACAGACAUGGUCCUUGAUGUCCAAAAUAAUUGUUUUAGUACCAACUUCACCACCUACUUUGUGUCUUCAGGUAAGUUACCUGACUUC
rnacentral:lncRNA from 1 species